CGAGUGACUUCUGUGUAAAGCAGCAUCUUUACCAACUGACCUGCAAUUAAGAAGUUUCAACAGAAAAGUCAGCCCGCAGUCUGCAGCCAGUGGAUGGGUGUUGAAGAUUCCGAAAUGCAGCUCAUUCAGUUAAAAAGGUCAGAAUUGUGGGCAUCAAAGUUUGGAGAUCUGCGGAGUGCACUUGAAGCUACCAAGAGAGAUCACAGGGCCUCUAUUCUGACCUGCUGGACAUCCCUGCCAGUGAAAUUUAACAGUUUGAAGAAAAUUGUGUUUGCAGUGCUUUCAGCAUUUGGAUCCACGUGCCUGUGUGAACAGGUAUUUUCACAUAUGAAAUCUGUCCCUCUCGGAGCCGGUUAACAACUGAUCACUCAGAAGCCUGUGCAGCUUAAAGUAUCCAAAUAUGUGCCAGACAUUGGAAAACUCAACAAGGAAAAGCAAGGGCAAGGAUCACACUAAACUGAUAUUAUCUGCAUUUUAAUUUAAUUUUAAAUGAAGCUUCUUAAACAUUUUAAAAACCUUAUAUAAAACUAAACUAUUGUUGUAUUUAAAGAAAAUAUUAUAGAUCUCUAGAAAGAUAUCUUCCAAAAAUGUUAAAAUGUAUUACUGGCACACGAAACCUUAAAUUAGAGUGAAUAAAUAAAGACUUAGCACACCA